CUGUACCAGAAAUUGGUAGUCCUGACAGAAUUAUGGCUCCCUACAUUAAUCCUCAAUCUGAGAUGACCAUGAGGGCCAUUGAAAAAUCGAAUUUAACAAGUCAGACAUCAAAUCUUUCUCAUCUCCCUCCACCACCAUCAGCAGGGCCACCUUUGCCUACGCCACCUCCGCCUCCUCCAUUCUCAACAAAGGAAAAUAAAACACCACCGCCACCUCCGCC
rnacentral:misc_RNA from 1 species